rnacentral:rRNA from 1 species
AGAGUUUGAUCCUGGCUCAGAACGAACGCUGGCGGCGUGCCUAAUACAUGCAAGUCGAGCGCGGGAAGCGAGCGGAUCCCUUCGGGGUGAAGCUCGUGGAAUGAGCGGCGGACGGGUGAGUAACACGUGGGCAACCUGCCUGUAAGACCGGAAUAACCCCGGGAAACCGGGGCUAAUGCCGGGUAAUACUUUUCUUCGCAUGAAGGAAAGUUGAAAGAUGGCUUCUCGCUAUCACUUACAGAUGGGCCCGCGGCGCAUUAGCUAGUUGGUGAGGUAACGGCUCACCAAGGCGACGAUGCGUAGCCGACCUGAGAGGGUGAUCGGCCACACUGGGACUGAGACACGGCCCAGACUCCUACGGGAGGCAGCAGUAGGGAAUCUUCCGCAAUGGACGAAAGUCUGACGGAGCAACGCCGCGUGAACGAUGAAGGUCUUCGGAUCGUAAAGUUCUGUUGUUAGGGAAGAACAAGUACCGUGCGAAUAGAGCGGUACCUUGACGGUACCUAACGAGGAAGCCCCGGCUAACUACGUGCCAGCAGCCGCGGUAAUACGUAGGGGGCAAGCGUUGUCCGGAAUUAUUGGGCGUAAAGCGCGCGCAGGCGGUUCCUUAAGUCUGAUGUGAAAGCCCACGGCUCAACCGUGGAGGGUCAUUGGAAACUGGGGAACUUGAGGACAGAAGAGGAGAGUGGAAUUCCACGUGUAGCGGUGAAAUGCGUAGAUAUGUGGAGGAACACCAGUGGCGAAGGCGACUCUCUGGUCUGUUUCUGACGCUGAGGUGCGAAAGCGUGGGUAGCAAACAGGAUUAGAUACCCUGGUAGUCCACGCCGUAAACGAUGAGUGCUAGGUGUUAGGGGGCUUCCACCCCUUAGUGCUGAAGUUAACGCAUUAAGCACUCCGCCUGGGGAGUACGGCCGCAAGGCUGAAACUCAAAGGAAU